rnacentral:rRNA from 1 species
GACGAACGCUGGCGGCGUGCUUAACACAUGCAAGUCGAACGGUAAGGCUCCAGCUUGCUGGGGUACACGAGUGGCGAACGGGUGAGUAACACGUGGGUGACCUGCCCUGCACUUCGGGAUAAGCCUGGGAAACUGGGUCUAAUACCGGAUAGGACCAUGGUGUGGAUACUGUGGUGGAAAGUUUUUUCGGUGUGGGAUGGGCCCGCGGCCUAUCAGCUUGUUGGUGGGGUAAUGGCCUACCAAGGCGGCGACGGGUAGCCGGCCUGAGAGGGUGGACGGCCACAUUGGGACUGAGACACGGCCCAGACUCCUACGGGAGGCAGCAGUGGGGAAUAUUGCACAAUGGGCGGAAGCCUGAUGCAGCGACGCCGCGUGGGGGAUGACGGCCUUCGGGUUGUAAACCGCUUUCGCCUGUGACGAAGCGUGAGUGACGGUAAUGGGUAAAGAAGCACCGGCUAACUACGUG